GGCCUCUACCGAGGCCUAAGACGUAAAGCCCGGCCCAAGUGAACCGACUCACCAGCAACCAGCCAGGUCAGCCUUCAAACUAGGGUUUUGCCCUCCCGCUCCGAGAAAGCAAACAGCUCGAGCUCCUCCGAUUCUGUCCGCCUCCGUUCCUCCGCAUCUUCCCGGCCGCCGCCAAGAUGAAGCUCGUCAGGUUCUUGAUGAAGCUGAACAACGAGACGGUCACCAUCGAGCUCAAGAACGGCACUACCGUCCACGGCACCAUCACCGGUGUUGACAUAAGCAUGAAUACUCAUCUGAAGACCGUAAAGCUCACAAUGAAAGGGAAGAAUCCUGUAACCCUUGAUCACAUCAGCGUGAGAGGAAACAACAUUCGGUACUACAUCCUCCCUGAUAGCUUAAACCUGGAAACGUUGCUGGUUGAGGAUACUCCCAGGGUCAAGUCUAAGAAGCCAACUACAGGGAAGCCUAUGGGUCGGGGUCGUGGACGCGGCCGUGGGCGUGGCCGGGGCCGGGGGCGCUGAGCUUUAUUGUUCCCUGCUUUGGAAGCUCGUGCAGUGCAAGUCCCUACAGCGUAACCUGCUUCCUCUGCGAGCUAUGUCGAAGAAUGUUUCUGUUCUGUUAGAAGAUGUCAAUCUAAGCCUCCAGACUUUUGAAAUGCUAAGUGGCAUCAUGUGCUGUUACUUGUUACCCUGGAAUUCUUGCCCUUGUGCUUUUGCGUAGCAGUAAGUUGUGUUUGAGUAGAAGCUGACCCUUUUUCUUUUGUGGCAAUGCUUGAAAUUAAACUGGGAUGGGGGCACUGGUAUUGCAGAUUACAUAUUGACAUAUUCAUCUGAAACAUGCACCCGUCUACAAUUCUUGCCUGUA